GACGUAGGGGACGAGCGUUGUCCGGAUUCAUUGGGCGUAAAGGGCGCGUAGGCGGCCUGCUAAGUCGAACGUGAAAUCCCCGGGCUCAACCCGGGAACUGCGUCCGAUACUGGUGGGCUUGAAUCCGGGAGAGGGAUGUGGAAUUCCAGGUGUAGCGGUGAAAUGCGUAGAUAUCUGGAGGAACACCGGUGGCGAAGGCGGCAUCCUGGACCGGCAUUGACGCUGAGGCGCGAAAGCUAGGGGAGCAAACGGG
rnacentral:rRNA from 1 species